rfam:Deltaproteobacteria bacterium CG2_30_66_27 cg2_3.0_scaffold_363_c, whole genome shotgun sequence.
GCCGCCGCGAGGCGGGGUCUGAAGGAAGCGGCAGGCAAACCCCCGGCCCGAGGAACACGAAGCGCAUAGAAGGCAACCGCACUUGGGCGAGAAGGCGACAAGAUUCGAAGCCCGAUCGUCAUCCGGAAGGUGCGGGAGUAGAUGCGACGGGUGUAUGGGGGGAAGGUGGGUGC